rnacentral:rRNA from 1 species
GGGCCCGCACAAGCGGUGGAGCAUGCGGUUUAAUUCGAUAAUCCGCGAGGAACCUUACCAACCUUUGACAUAUUUGUCGCGAGUGUAGAGAUACACUUUUCAUCUAGGAUGGACAUUUACAGGGUUGCAUGGUCGUCGUCAGCUCGUGUCGUGAGAUGUUGGGUUAAGUCCCGCAACGAGCGCAACCCCUUUCUUUAUUUGCCAUCAGGUUAUGCUGGGAACUAUAAAGAUACUGCCGGUGUUAAACCGGAGGAAGGCGGGGACGAUGUCAGAUCAUCAUGGCCUUUAUAGGUUGGGCUACACGUGUGCUACAAUGGCGUCUACAACGGGUUGCGAUUCAGUAAUGAUAAGCUAA